GAUGAACGCUGGCGGCGUGCCUAAUACAUGCAAGUCGAGCGAAUGGAUUAAGAGCUUGCUCUUAUGAAGUUAGCGGCGGACGGGUGAGUAACACGUGGGUAACCUGCCCAUAAGACUGGGAUAACUCCGGGAAACCGGGGCUAAUACCGGAUAACAUUUUGAACCGCAUGGUUCGAAAUUGAAAGGCGGCUUCGGCUGUCACUUAUGGAUGGACCCGCGUCGCAUUAGCUAGUUGGUGAGGUAACGGCUCACCAAGGCAACGAUGCGUAGCCGACCUGAGAGGGUGAUCGGCCACACUGGGACUGAGACACGGCCCAGACUCCUACGGGAGACAGCAGUAGGGAGUCUUCCGCAAUGGACGAAAGUCUGACGGAGCAACGCCGCGUGAGUGAUGAAGGCUUUCGGGUCGUAAAACUCUGUUGUUAGGGAAGAACAAGUGCUAGUUGAAUAAGCUGGCACCUUGACGGUACCUAGCCAGAAAGCCACGGCUAACUACGUGCCAGCCGCCGCGGUAA
rnacentral:rRNA from 1 species